UGGAGAGAAAGUGCUGGAGAUGGAGGGAUGGAUAGAGAGAGAGACGUGUUGUAGGCCGCAGGCCAUCUUUCACUGGUUUCUGAGCUAGAAUCACUUCUGCUUAUCAGCGUCCAGACUGUGUCUCUGUGGAGAAGCUGUCUGUUAUCCCAGCCAACGCUUUGCUAAUGUUCCCAACGUGGUGUCUAUCUCUUUCUCUUCUGUUUUUCACUGAACCAACAGCAUGAAGGUGAGUUAAUGAUACCUGGAUUUUUAUUUUGGGUAUCACAAACUAGAUAAACCUUUCAUAACCUAAAGAGCCCCGCAGAGACCACCACACAGUUCUUACAGUCAUGAGAAACAACAUGCCUGUGUGAACCUUUAAUGCACCGCAUGUGCUUUGGAUG
ensembl:lncRNA